UGGGGAAUUUUGGACAAUGGGCGCAAGCCUGAUCCAGCCAUGCCGCGUGAGUGAAGAAGGCCUUCGGGUUGUAAAGCUCUUUCGGCGGGGACGAAAUGGUUCGUGCCAAUACCACGGACUGAUGACGGUACCUGAAGAAGAAGCACCGGCUAACUACGUGCCAGCAGCCGCGGUAAUACGUAGGGUGCAGGCGUUAAUCGGAAUUACUGGGCGUAAAGCGUGCGCAGGCGGUUUGUUAAGACAGAUGUGAAAUCCCCGGGCUUAACCUGGGAACUGCGUUUGUAACUGGCAGACUGGAGUGUGGCAGAGGGGGGUGAAUUCCAAGUGUAGCAGUGAAAUGCGUAGAGAUCUGGAGGAACACCGAUGGCGAAGGCAGCCCCCUGGGCUAACACUGACGCUCAUGCACGAAAGCGUGGGGAGCAAACAGGAUUAGAUACCCCCGGUAGUCCCUGAGCGGGCUGGCAAG
rnacentral:rRNA from 1 species